UCUUUAUAAAUAAUUUAAAUUUGGUUAAUUUAUAAAAAUAAUAAUUGAAUUUAAUUAUUUUAUUUUAUUGGGGUGAUAUGAGUAUAAAUAAUAAUAACUGCUUAAAUAAUAUACUUUUAUAUAAGGAUAAUAAAUGUAUGAUCCUUUUUAAAGAUUAAAAGACUAAGUU
rnacentral:rRNA from 1 species